rnacentral:tRNA from 1 species
GCGGAUGUGGCGGAACUGGUAGACGCCCCGGAUUUAGGUUCCGGUGCCGAAAGGCGUGGAGGUUCGAGUCCUCUCAUCCGUA